rnacentral:lncRNA from 1 species
UUUGUUUCUAGUAUUUAUCAAGAAUGAAUCUGGAAUCUUCUCAAAGCCUCCAUACCUUCAGAGUGUUAUUUUCCUUUUUGUCAUAAGGUGUCUGGAAAUGAAGUAUGGAAAUGAAAUAAUGAAUAAAGACCCAGUUUUCAGAAUCUCUCCACGGAGUAGAGAAACUCAUCCCAAUCCGGAAGAGCCCGAAGAAGAAGAUGAAGAUGUUCAAGCUGAAAGAGUCCAAGCAGCAAAUGCACUCACUGCUCCAAACUUGGAGGAGGAACCAGUCAUAACUGCAAGCUGUUUACACAAGGAAUAUUAUGAGACAAAGAAAAGUUGCUUUUCAACAAGAAAGAAGAAAAUAGCC